UGGGGAAUUUUGGACAAUGGGGGAAACCCUGAUCCAGCCAUCCCGCGUGUGCGAUGAAGGCCUUCGGGUUGUAAAGCACUUUUGGCAGGAAAGAAACGUCAUGGGUUAAUACCCCGUGAAACUGACGGUACCUGCAGAAUAAGCACCGGCUAACUACGUGCCAGCAGCCGCUGUAAUACGUAGGGUGCAAGCGUUAAUCGGAAUUACUGGGCGUAAAGCGUGCGCAGGCGGUUCGGAAAGAAAGAUGUGAAAUCCCAGAGCUCAACUUUGGAACUGCAUUUUUAACUACCGGGCUAGGGUGUGUCAGAGGGAGGUGGAAUUCCGCGUGUAGCAGUGAAAUGCGUAGAUAUGCGGAGGAACACCGAUGGCGAAGGCAGCCUCCUGGGAUAACACUGACGCUCAUGCACGAAAGCGUGGGGAGCAAACAGG
rnacentral:rRNA from 1 species